GACGAACGCUGGCGGCGUGCUUAACACAUGCAAGUCGAACGGUGAAGCGCCUUCCUUUUUGGUGGGUGUGGAUGAGUGGCGAACGGGUGAGUAACACGUGAGUAACCUGCCCCCUUCUUCUGGAUAACCGCAUGAAAGUGUGGCUAAUACGGGAUAUUCUGGGUCUGUCGCAUGAUGGGUCUGGGAAAGAUAUUGUUUCGGUGGGGGAUGGGCUCGCGGCCUAUCAGCUUGUUGGUGGGGUGAUGGCCUACCAAGGCGGUGACGGGUAGCCGGCCUGAGAGGGUGGACGGUCACACUGGGACUGAGACACGGCCCAGACUCCUACGGGAGGCAGCAGUGGGGAAUAUUGCACAAUGGGCGCAAGCCUGAUGCAGCGACGCCGCGUGAGGGAUGGAGGCCUUCGGGUUGUGAACCUCUUUCGCCAGUGAAGCAGGCCUGCCUCGUUUGUGGAUGGGUUGACGGUAGCUGGAGAAGAAGCGCCGGCUAACUACGUG
rnacentral:rRNA from 1 species